rnacentral:rRNA from 1 species
AUUGAACGCUGGCGGCAUGCCUUACACAUGCAAGUCGAACGGUAACGGGCCUUCGGGUGCCGACGAGUGGCGAACGGGUGAGUAAUGUAUCGGAACGUACCUUUCAGUGGGGGAUAACGUAGCGAAAGUUACGCUAAUACCGCAUAUUCUGUGUGCAGGAAAGCAGGGGAUCGCAAGACCUUGCGCUGAUUGAGCGGCCGAUAUCAGAUUAGCUAGUUGGUGAGGUAAAGGCACACCAAGGCGACGAUCUGUAGCGGGUCUGAGAGGAUGAGCCGCCACACUGGAACUGAGACACGGUCCAGACUCCUACGGGAGGCAGCAGUGGGGAAUUUUGGACAAUGGGGGCAACCCUGAUCCAGCCAUGCCGCGUGAGUGAAGAAGGCCUUCGGGUUGUAAAGCUCUUUCGGCCGGGAAGAAAUCGCACGGGCUAAUACCCUGUGUGGAUGACGGUACCGGAAUAAGAAGCACCGGCUAACUACGUGCCAGCCGCCGCAGUAAUAC